rnacentral:rRNA from 1 species
AUUGAACGCUGGCGGCAUGCUUUACACAUGCAAGUCGAACGGUAACAGGCCUUCGGGUGCUGACGAGUGGCGAACGGGUGAGUAAUGCAUCGGAACGUGCCCAGAGGUGGGGGAUAACGCAGCGAAAGCUGUGCUAAUACCGCAUGUGAUCUGAGGAUGAAAGCGGGGGACCAAGCAGCAAUGUUUGGCCUCGCGCCUCUGGAGCGGCCGAUGUCAGAUUAGGUAGUUGGUGGGGUAAAGGCCUACCAAGCCGACGAUCUGUAGCUGGUCUGAGAGGACGACCAGCCACACUGGGACUGAGACACGGCCCAGACUCCUACGGGAGGCAGCAGUGGGGAAUUUUGGACAAUGGGCGCAAGCCUGAUCCGGCAAUGCCGCGUGCGGGAAGAAGGCCUUCGGGUUGUAAACCGCUUUUGUACGGAACGAAAAGGCUCUGGCUAAUACCUGGGGCUGAUGACGGUACCGUAAGAAUAAGCACCGGCUAACUACGUG